AGGGUGUAAACGCUGCAGACUUGGUGUUGGAGGCCCUUUGGGGGCAUUCAGUGCCGGAGAGAGGUUGUUAAGUCUGCUACUUGGGGAGUACGUCCGCAAGGAUGAAACUUAAAGGAAUUGGCGGGGGAGCACCACAACGGGUGGAGCCUGCGGUUUAAUUGGACUCAACGCCGGGAAGCUCACCGGAUAGGACAGCAGAAUGAUUGCCGGGCUGAAGACCCUGCAUGACUAGCUGAGAGGAGGUGCAUGGCGUAGACGUCU
rnacentral:rRNA from 1 species